rnacentral:lncRNA from 1 species
ACAACUUUCAUAACAAAUAUAUAUGAAGAAGGAGUUUUGGGCUACCACUUAGAAAGGAAAUGCCUCAUUUGUCAACUCCCUCGACCGGAGACUUGGGGGACUCCUACCAUAUGCUACUGCACCUUUAUACUCAGAAGUCUCAUGACCACUCAGUGACUUGGAUUUUUCAAGUCUCCAAACGAGAAGUCUUCCUCACUCGGGAAAUUAAGGGAGCACUACCUCAACCUACAUGCUUCACUCACAAAGCUUCA